rnacentral:rRNA from 1 species
GAGAAACCCRAAAGAUCGAAUGGGGAGAUUCAUCGUCAGCUUAUUUKGUAUAUAUGCAUAUUAUGAUAUGGGUUACUGCCCUGUGUAGUAUUGCCUGUACAUUUUKGUAUAUUUAUUUGCAAAAUAUUGUCGGCGUGCACUUCUCCCUAGUAGGACGUCGCGACCGUUGAGUCUGUCUGUCUACGGUCCAAGUGGUAGCUUUUAAUGRAUAUAUUUUAUAUAUUUAUUGAAAACCCUUGGUAUCUCCCUGACUGGCACUCGUCGGUAAUCAAUAUGGUAUUGAGCCGCAUUUAUUAAUUAAUAUAUAUAUGCGUCCCUAUCCGUCGCAAGCGAGGUUAGCCUACUGAUAGUACGGACCUAGUGCCGUCGUUAGUACUAAUCAGCUGUUGGUUGUUACGGAAUUCUAGGACUGGCUCGUAAUAUGAAAAAUACCUGUCAGCGAUGCUACUGCUUUGG